rnacentral:rRNA from 1 species
AUGCCUCCGAGACGUGACCCCGGAUUUGUCUUCCCACUGUACCUCACCCAGUUGAUCCAACAACAGAAUGCCUUGAUGCAGCUACUAGUCCAGACCCGAGGUAACAACAACAACAACAACAACAACCCACCGCCACCACCUCCAGUUGACAAUUUAGCCCGUUUUCUAAGGUUGCAGCCGCCGGUGUUUUCCAGUAGCACCGAGCCAAUAGCUGCUGAUGACUGUCUACGCAAGAUUGGAAGGGGGUUGACCACCGCAGGUUGCACAGAUGCUGAGAAGGUGCGUUUUGCCGCACAUUAA